UACGGAGGGGGCGAGCGUUAUUCGGAAUUAUUGGGCGUAAAGGGCGCGUAGGCGGCUUGAUGUGUCAAAGGUGAAAUCCCUCGGCUCAACUGAGGAACUGCCUUUGAAACUGUCUGGCUUGUGGCCGGGAGAGGGUAGCGGAAUUCCCAGUGUAGCGGUGAAAUGCGUAGAUACUGGGAGGAACACCGGUGGCGAAGGCGGCUACCUGGACCGGUUCUGACGCUGAUGCGCGAAAGCGUGGGUAGCAAACAGG
rnacentral:rRNA from 1 species